GAUGAACGCUAGCUACAGGCUUAACACAUGCAAGUCGCGGGGCAGCAUUUCCUUAGCUUGCUAAGGAAGAUGGCGACCGGCGCACGGGUGAGUAACGCGUAUCGAACCUGCCCCAUACCCGGGGAUAGCCUUGCGAAAGUAAGAUUAAUACCCGAUGGUUUCCUUUUAUCUCCUGAUAGAGGGAAUAAAGAAUUUCGGUAUGGGAUGGCGAUGCGUCCGAUUAGCUAGUUGGCGGGGUAACGGCCCACCAAGGCGACGAUCGGUAGGGGUUCUGAGAGGAAGGUCCCCCACAUUGGAACUGAGACACGGUCCAAACUCCUACGGGAGGCAGCAGUGAGGAAUAUUGGUCAAUGGGCGAAAGCCUGAACCAGCCAAGUAGCGUGCAGGAUGACGGCCCUAUGGGUUGUAAACUGCUUUUAGGCGGGGUAAAGUGGCGGACGUGUUCCGCCUUUGCAAGUCCGCCAGAAAAAGGCCGGCUAAUUCCGUG
rnacentral:rRNA from 1 species